GGGAAACCAAGGUCAAAACCGUACCUGGCAAUGACCUUCUAACUGCCUCUGCCAUGCCGUGAAAGAAGGCAAGGCGGAAAGAGAGCAUGUGACAGAGAGAGAAGGAAAGAGAUCAAAUUCAUCUUUUUAUCAGGAACCCCUUGACCAUAACUAACCCAUUCUCACAGUGGGUGGAGGUGUUCAUGAAGGCACCACAUUCUUGACCUAAUCAUCUUCUCAAGGUCUCCCUUUUCAACACUGGAAGUUGGGAGUAAGUUUCCAACAUGGACUCUGGAGGAGACACUCAAACCAAUCUUGAGCACCAUGGGCAGAGUUGGUUGUUGGGACUGUUGAAGUUCAUGGUUCUGUGAUGUCACCAGGAACUUCUCAUUCUGUUACUUGUCUUCCUGGUGAUCAGGGCAUUGAUUCAGUUCAGGAUUGGAACCUCUGUCAUCUAUGGAUGGAUCUCACCUUCUCAUUAUACAGAGUAGAUGUCCCAUGGAUUAUAAUUAUUGAAGAGUUUUUCAGAAGCUUCAUCUUGACCUGCCUGUGCCCUUCUCCAGUGCCCAGGCUUUUCCUCCUCAUCCAGUUGUAUCUCCUGAGGUGCCAUGGAGGACUGCAGAACUCACCACAAGGGCAGAGCACAUGUGUGAGUCCAUCUCUCAUAAGCAUAGUGAAUGUUUCUUCCUGGCCAUGAAACUUCCGUUCUUUAGGAAGCGUGAGCAAAGCCAUGGGGUGAAUGCAGUGACUCGUAAUGAACAGACACAGGAAAGAGCCAGGCAGACAAUAGGUGAUAGAGCAUAGAUACAUAGAAGAUAGACAGACAGACAGACAGGCAGGCAGGCAGGCAAUAGAGAUAGAGCAGAGGCUAUAACACUAAGCCCCAAGGCCAAUCAAAUCUAGGUUCAAGACCCAUUUCUUUUCUCACUUUCA
rnacentral:lncRNA from 1 species